rnacentral:rRNA from 1 species
AUACAUAGGGGGCAAGCGUUAUCCGGAAUUAUUGGGCGUAAAGGGUGCGUAGGCGGUUUGUUAAGUCUAAGGUGUAAGUUCAAGGCUCAACCUUGUGAUGCUUUAGAAACUGGCGGACUAGAGAUAGAUAGAGGCAAGUGGAAUUCCAUGUGUAGCGGUAAAAUGCGUAAAUAUAUGGAGGAACACCAGUGGCGAAGGCGGCUUGCUGGGUCUAUACUGACGCUGAGGCACGAAAGCGUGGGGAGC